GCGGACGUGGCGAAACUGGUAGACGCAAGGGACUUAAAAUCCCUCGACCUUCUGGUCAUGCGGGUUCGAUCCCCGCCGUCCGCA
rnacentral:tRNA from 1 species